rnacentral:lncRNA from 1 species
GCCGUUGGGGGGAUAGACAGAUCCAAAAAAUUAUUCCGAUCGAUUUUGAUAUAUGGAACGUCAAAAUUGGAGUUCGUAUGCGAAAGUUAUGGCUGUUUUACGAACGGACUCCGAAUUAGAGGGCAAAACAGUCCGGAAGUGGGAAAAAUUUGCGAUGGUGGCUAGAAAUAGAUGGAAAUAGUGGGAAAAAAUAGACAAACUGGACUGUAACAAGACCUAACCAGUAACAAGACCUUGACCAGGACACAAACUCAACACUACGGACUCUGAAACUGAAAUAUGCAAAGGCUAUGGCGCGGAUGGGUUGUAGGACAUGAAAACAAUAUGGCACUAGACUUAUGCGACGAACACAAGGACACUUGAAACUAAGGGUAGAUGUGAACCUAACGAUAUGUCUGAAGCUUCGAAUACCACUUCAGGAGAACAAGUGUGGCCCGAUCUUCCGAAACUUUCUGGUAACUAUCGAUUUGGUGGAAACGAGAGACAUAUCAAUCCAGCUUGCGAACAACACAAUUCGAAACCCUGCAAUUCUUUUUAUUUUUUUUUAUAUUUUUCUUUUACUAAGGAGCACUCAAGAAAUAACCACAGGAAAUUUAAGCUUAAACAAGUGAAAGACGUGGCCUGU